CGUGACUUGGAUGACAACUAUGCUUCUUCACGUGCAUUUAUCUAUUUCUAGAAUUUACUUGAGUUUCAGUGCCCAACUUUACUCCUCAUAUUCCUAUAGUGCAUAGGGAGAAAGGCGAACCAGCCAUGGAACCUCCUCCAUCACAAUCCAUUCAAGUCUCUGGAGAUGAUACACAAGACAAGGUCAUCAACGAAUGUUGUUCUUGCUGGUAUGACUGUACACAAGGUCUCUUUGAUUUCUUGUGCUGUAACUUUUAAAACUCUUUAUUAGUGUUAUUUCAUAGGGACAUGGGUAUCGAGUUGUUACUUUUCUCUUCCCCUUAUCAGAUGAUUGAUGUAUGAUCUGAAUUAACUAAGAAAAAUCUGUGCGUUUUAAUCAUAGACUGAUACAACAUUCUUCCUUUUUGUGUCUUUUGGAUGCCUUUGCUAACUGAGUUUGAGAUUUUUGUUAUAUAAAUCACACUGAAAUUAGAAUGUAUAGGUGAAUCCUAAGAAUUCUAGAAUCUGAGUUUAUUAUCCUAUAUAUCCAAAUCGUUUGGGAAUUUCAUGGUUGUUUUACUAGCAGAGGAUCCUGUUUCCAUAAAGUGGUGUGGGUCUGCAAAAGUCAUUCUUUUAGUCAGAGAAUCACAACAAGCUUUUGUGGCAAAAACUGAAUAUCACAUAACAACUAUCAGAACAUGGCAGUAGUAGGAAAGACACAUUUUUUAUUUAUUUGACCCGUAUUAUAAAAAAUAAUAGUAUCAA
rnacentral:sRNA from 1 species